UUCUGAACAAGCCUUACUACAGCGAAAUCCAGUCCCGGUCGGGCAGGCACUGGACACUUGCCCAUCUUUCAGCCUUUAAAUUGAGAGGAGCCACUAAAGAAAGCAUGCAUGGGGUUUCUCAAAACCCCUGUGUCAGAAUCAACCAAGCCGUAACUAAUCAGAGAAAUGGUUUCUCCCUGGAUCCGUGUGAAAUCAGACUUUUCUGUGAUUGGAGCUAUUCGUGCCUGCAGAGCUGUGGUUACAAGCAAGGUAACCCUGGGUGGAUCCAGCUUCCGGGUCCCUGAAGCCUAUGCUAUCUAGAGACCUGUUUUAAGAACCAGAGGACAAAAUUAUCAGUGAUAAAGGCAGGGCCACAAAGGAGGGCCAGCAAGGUGAGAGACUUCAACUGGAAGCUUUGUUAGCUCCUCAGACAAAUCCUCUUUGGAGAAAAUAACAGUAAUUAACUGUGAAAAGUCAUUCGUUUCUUUAACUCUCCUCAGAAAAAAGUUGGGUCUUUUCCCCCUGCAUCCCCACCCCCACCACACUUUACCGAAAAGAAAGUUGAAUUGCAAGGAGUUUAGGGGGCUUGUCUAAUGUUGACCAGUAAGAUGCUCUCCCUAGCUUCCCUAAGCACCAAACAGUGACCCUGCCUGCCCUGGAGAUAAAAUUAGCAAAACACAGUCAACUGACUGGGUUUCUACACCACUGGUGGCUUAAAAGUCAAACCCCUAAGUGGCCUUUGACUUAAGUUGAACUCUGUGGACUCAGACUCCAGGUAGGAGGAAGCUCAGAAACACUCGUGUGUGUGUGUGUGUGUGUGUGUGUGUGUGUGUGUGUGUGUGUGUGAACGUGCCUUAUGUCUGUGUGUCUUUGUGUACCUGUUUCUGAGUGAGUGCGUGUGUUUCUGUUUAUAUGUGUGUAUGUGUAUGUCUAUGUGUCUGUAUGUCUAUAUGUCUGUCUGUCUGUAUGUGUGUGUAUAUUUGUAUGUGUGUAUAUCUGUAUGUCUGUGUAUGUCUGUAUGUGUGUAUGUGUGUAUUCUGUUUGUGUGUAUAUAUCUGUAUGUCUGUAUGUGUAUAUGUGUGUAUGUCUGUAUGUCUGUGUAUCUGCACGUGCACUUCUGUGUCUGUGAGGGCGAUACCUUGCGUUUACCUUUCCUCUGCCAGUGGAAAAUAACAGCUUCUCCCAAGUCCUUGCCAAGUGUGUGAGAACCCAUUUUCUUUCUGAGGUUCUUAGCACAGUCUUUGGUGUAUCUGGUCAGAUACACUAUGACGAUCCCUUGGGCCACAGCCUUGUCUGGAGCUCACCAGACAGGACAGUAAUAACAACACUGUGUGUGUGUUUGGUACUAACUGGGAAACCUGACCCUGUGGCCUUGCAUGAGUCAUUUAACUUCUACAUCUGUAAAGUGGGUUGGUAGAAGAAUCUCCUCGUGGCAAUCUUGUGAAGAAAAUAGCAUUUCUCCUGCCAUUUGGAACUUCUGCUCAAAAAAAUACCCGAUGGAGCAGGUACCAGACAGCAGCCUGUGAGUUCCAAGGCCAGCCGGCAAGAUGGGGAGAGAGAAAAGAGGACCCGACUGAACUGCCUGGGCUCCGGCAUCCACCUGCGCUAGAAAAACACUCUGGACCCCAUCCCUGCAGCUGGAAGCCAAGCUGGAGGCCAACCCUGGGGACUUUUCAUCCUAAUCACUACCAGGUUGAAAAUUAACAAAGGCUAUGAACCAAAAGCCAGCAAAAGUAAAAGGGACUGCACCCAAAGCCAGGCAGCAAGCCAUACACCUGUAAUUCCGCUCUCAGAAGACAGAAAAAUCGUGAGUUCAUGAUUUGAGGCAUGGUUUGCCUCAAAAGCCAAAUAGAGCAACAAAAAAGUGAUCACAUCUCAGAAUGUAUCCUGAAUUCCACCUCUGACCAAGACCCUGUCAGUGAGAGAGCAGCUCCAAGGCAACCCUGCAGCAGGAGACACGAAGAAGAAAGGCCAAGCCCCCGGCUUCCUGUGUCCAAGGUGCUCACAACAGCUGCUUUGUGUUAAAACCACAUCUGUCUGGGCGCAUCUAUUGGUCCAACCUCCAGGAAGCGGGAGCACCUUCUGACAGGUCCUAGAACUCCAAAGACGCUGUCAGAGGCGACAGCUGGCUCUCAGCACAGCCCUGGCUUAGCCAUACAAGCCAUUAAGCACCUUUGCUCAGAAGUACCCGCUAGUGUUGUCUCCAGCGCUCACGUACCAAGCGAACGUACCAAGUUGACAUGUGCCACUACCUCCUUAUUGUUUUGAAGUCUGACCUAAUUGGCUUCACAGGGAGAGAGUCUGGUCCCGCACACCACACACGCAGCUAGUCCUCAUCAUCCAUCAUGUGGACUGUCGCCGAGACUCAGGUGAGAACAGAGACCUGGCUUUCAGCAAACCCUUCCGUGAGGCCCCGAAAGCCUCUUUCCCCUCAGGACCUCCAUGGGCAAUCUGUGUGUGAGUUAAAGGUUCACCUUGCUCACCAUUGCAAGGCCACUGUAGACUUUUCCAAUUACCUGCUUUCUCUUUAUGUUCCUGACAGGCCAACCUGGUUCUUUGUGCCCAUUGUCCUUUGGCUUCUGGGAAAAUAGUUAAACGGUUUGGUGUUCAUCCUGGGGAUGAAGGAAUUAGGGAGUCAACAUUGUUGAAAUUUGGAAAUAUAAAAGGACUUUGAUAUGUCUCUUAAAAAUAUUAACCCUUUGCCUGCCAUGGUGAUACAGGCCUGUAAUUCCAGCUACUUGAGACACUUAUGCGAGAGAGAAACCUGUUCAAGUGCAGCCUGGGAAACUUGGCAAGAUGUUCCCUAAUAAAGAUAAAAUGGAUUGGGGAUGUACAUCCCUGGUAGAGUACUCAAGAUAUGCAGUCUCCUGGAUGGAUGGAUGGAUGGAUGGAUGGAUGGAUGGAUGGAUGGAUCAGUCAGCUGAACAAAAGUCUUUAAGACAAAAUAAUUCUCAUAUUUGUCUUAGCCUUUUCCCUUUGGUAGGGUGGCUGUCAGCCUGACUUUUAAACCACGUUGUCGUCUCUGCCUUUGCCUCUCUCUAUAUCCCUCCUCCCUGUUUUGUUUUGUCUGAGAGAGUCCACAUAUCCAGUGGCGAACCCUUGAGGGACCCUGACUCUUACAAGGUAUGUAUUCAUAUAAAUGAAUUUCACACAGUUUAUUGCCAGCCACGUCUGUAUCUGUAAGGGUAAGAGCAACUGUGCUGUUUGUUACUUUAGUGGCCUAAAGAGUUUCAAUGUAUCUCCUUAGCUGCAAACCACCCACUUAAAAUAAUGAAAGCUUAGCCUAAGUGUUUCCCCGCUGGGGGUGCCACCCUCUUACUUCAGAAGGCCUGGGGUGCCCAGAGCACUGCGCUCUGCCUGCUGGGAUGGGAGGAGUUAAUUAAAUUACCUUAUAUUUAGUGUUAAUUUUGUACCGGGCUUGUCGGGUAACAGACAGCAAGCCCAGGCUUGACUAGGAGUGCCGGCCUGGGCAUGGGCCCCAUCUCUGGGGCAUUUCUAUUGUCAGAUUAAUUAAAUUGACAUCUUGGUUGUGAUUAGUUACAAAUAUGGCUCCAAUAUUUUUUCAACAGGUGUCAAACUAGGGGCUGUGGUCAGAAUCACAAUGCGUAACUGUGUCUAACCAGAGAACAGAAACAGGAGCUGAGGAUGUUCCAGAAGACUGGAAGAUUGGAGGCAUCCUUUGGGGUUAAGAUGCCGAUUUGGCACUCACCAUUGCUGGGUCCAGCUUGCAGCUAGGAUAUCUUUUGUUGAUAGAAGGGAAUGUGGGGGAUUCUUGCUGUGUUUGGAGAGAGCACUUGAUUGCUGAUUAAAAUCUGCAUCACUAAUGCAAACCUGAACCUUUCAGGAAGCAGGCUGUGAGAAGUCCUAAUUAGUGUGAAAUUAUAUUUCCCAGAGAUGCUGCAGUCCCGAUCCACACAGACCUACAGCACUGUAAUUCCCUAGGUAGGGCAAGUGUUCCCGUGGAUCAGACAGUUGUGAUUGCACGGACUUGAACUUGGGCUCAAAUGCAAUUUCCCUACCCUCACUCCCAAACCUCUGAAAACCACUUUCAUAAUUGUCACUCAAGUGAGGGACAUUCACAGUCUCCCACCCACACCCACCUGCACUCCCCCACCCCCAUCCACAUGUUGUAGAACAGGUCAGUUCCUUAUAGGCCUGUGAAUUCAUACACAGACCUUUGCAUGUUAUCCAGGUGAGUGUGUUUUUAACAGAUCAACAACUGUUGUCAGAAUGUAGCCACGGGGGGAGGGGGGUCUAAGGUUAUCAGAGAAUUUCUACCACUCUAGGGGGUCAUUGAACUAACCACACAACAGUGUCCAUCUUAGAGAAAAGGCCAGGAAGUCUCCACCAUUUGGAAACACCACACGAAUUCAUUCCCCUCACAAACUGUUCUUGUGUGAGUUACACAUACCAGCUGCCAGGGAAGAAAGCUGGAAGCUGGAGGAAAGAUCCUUCUUCCUCUGGAUCCUCAAAAGCUCAUGCCAGGUCUCUAAGGAAGUGAAAAUGAAAACACCAUAAGACCAGACAGAAUUAACAUAAAAUGCAAGGUUUUCAACUCUUCUUAUCUCAAAGAUCAAACAAACCAUAGAGUCAUACAUAACCUUAGUGUAGGGAAAUCUUGAAUAUCCUACAGAGAUCCAGGAAACAACUAUAUAGUUGAGAACCUGCGAGUCACACCAGACACUUAGGGGCCAAGUUGCUUUCACCAUCAGCCUGAGAAGUCUUAAACCAUGCAGGUGUCCUGGCUUAGGCCUUGAGUGAACUCUGGAAGCUGCAGUUCCAUAACCACAGCCCACACUGAGCUGCCUUCCUGUCCUGGAUCUCAGCAGCCCUCUGAUAAAGUGUCACAAGUCCAGAACGGUUGGCAACAAACCUUAGCCAGAGAGAUCAUGGUGAGAAAUGGCGUUGUCUCCCCCCCCCCCACACACACACACACACCCUCACACGGACGACUCUGCAUCAGGAAACACCUGGUUCUGCUGUAGCUUUUUAUACCUGCCCUAGGCACUUUGGACACACACAUGUUGGGUGGAGGACAGAAAACCACCUGAAAAUGCGUCGAUUUAUCAUAGCAAGACAAGGGAGGGAAUCAGGACAUGGUCACUAACAUUUGGAAGAGCUAUACCGGGGCCCUGGUUUCCAGAAAUGAAAUGCCAUUGUACACAAAGACUGAAGUGUGACAGGUGGCCCCAUUAGGAAAGAAUUCACAAAGCUUUGUUUCUGAUAAUUACUUGGAGGCUGAAAUGUAAUGAUCCCAUUUAUUCCAUCAGCAAGAGUUGUCACGGUCUCCUCGCAGGAAGAAUGAGCCUCCGCCCUUUGCAGACUCAAUGUGAACUUUUAUCAUUUCCACAUACUGUUUGGUAUAGCUUCCACAUGUUAAUUGUUCAGUAAGUUACUUCCUGAACAAAGAUCCUUCUCCCUCCUGAUCAGCGAAGCAGGUGUCGGGUCUCCGAACACUGUAUGUGCCAAUUGAAGCUGCAGUCUGUUCCUUCAGGAGUGCUGGGCAAAAUAACAAAGAUCAAAUGAAUCUCUGAUGGAAACAGCCACUGCUGAACGCCUCUGUAGAGAAAAAUCUUGAAGCAAUAAUAUAUGAUGCUUUCUGGUUAACAAAUGGUACCCAAGGCUAAUUCCUUUGGUCUUGACAUCCUCUCAUAUGUAACACAAAUACUUUUAUGUAUAUGAUUCACAUGCCCACAUCACAAACGUGAUAUGCAUAUAAAUACACAGGUAAAAUAUUA